rnacentral:rRNA from 2 species
CGCGUGGGAACCUACCUUUCGGUACGGAACAACAGUUGGAAACGACUGCUAAUACCGUAUACGUCCUCGGAGAAAGAAUUAUCGCCGACUAUAGAGGGCCGGCGUUGGAUUAGCUUGUUGGUGAGGUAAUGGCUCACCAAGGCGACGAUCCGUAGCUGGUCUGAGAGGAUGAUCAGCCACACUGGGACUUAGACGCGGCCCAGACUCCUACGGGAGGCAGCAGUGGGGAAUAUUGGACAAUGGGCGCAAGCCUGAUCCAGCCAUGCCGCGUGAGUGAUGACGGCCCUAGGGUUGUAAAGC